UUCCAAGUCAUAGUUUGACGGUAUUUGGUAGAAAGGAGAUGAUUUUCCAGAUGGAGCUUUAAAAGUAAGCAUUGGGAGCUGGGGAGAUGGCUCAGCCAUUAAGAGCACCAACUGCUCUUCCAGAAGAUCCAGGUUUGAUUUCUGGCACCCACGGCAGCACACAAGGGUCUGUAACUGCAGUUCCAGGUAGACACCCAAAGAACCCGAUGCCCUCUUCUGGUCUUUCUGGGCAUCAGACACACAUGUUGCAUGGAUAGACAGGCAAAACACCCACACACAUAAAAUAAAUAAUAAUUUUUUAAAAAGAGAAAUGAUUUCUUCCUUGUACCAAAUCAGGAAGAAUAAUAGUUCCAGUUAACACAUUCCAAACUGAUUGUAGGACUUCUUUUGAGUUUAAUUCAUAUAAGGCUUAAGAACUGGGGGCUGAAGGAAAUGGGGAGGAAAAACAGACAAAACAUUGUCCUGCUUCAGCUUCUUUCAGCUGUAAAAGGAGAGCUACGCCAGAAAAAAAAUUCCAGUCUGGACAAAACAAGUCUUACGAAGAAACAAAGUUUAGUUUUGGUUUGAGCUCCGCCUUGCCUACCAGGCCUAGAAACUGUAGACAGACAGGCAUCUGGUUCUCCUUCUCUUGCUUUCGUGUAUGGUUGUACUGAGAAAGAGAAGAGAGGAAGGCCUUCAGGGAAGACUGAACAGGAUGAUGAUGGAUAAGUGACACUGAGCUGGCAGUGGUCACACAGGCAUUCUACACAGGAACAGGCAUGUUGGCUCCAUUCUGCAGUCACAUGCAAGAGGGGCAUGAGAACACUGAUUCUGGCACCCAGUAGGUGCUCAGCCCAGUGUUUUAAAUGAACUCCAGGUGAAAGUAAAUAGUUCACCAACAUGCUAUAUCGUUACCAUACCCAACCCCUGUCUGCAACCCAUGGCCAAGUAUCUGGACCUCACCACACAGCAUCAGGGAAGUCUCAGCUGCCUGGAAAGCACCCUGGAGUUCUCUUCCACUCAGCAAAACUGGGCAUAAACACCCUGAGGCUUCCACACAAGGCCUUUCCUUGACAGCUGUCUGCCACAGCAGGAGGCGAGCAGGAAGCCACUACCUCUGGGCUUUUCCUCUGAUUUCCUGUGGCUGCCACAGCCAAGCAGGGCUUGCCUACUAGCUGCCUCUCCCUCGUCAUGAAUCCAGGCCUACCAGAUGGGAUUCCUCACUACCUUCCAUGGAAAAGGACAAAGUGAUUUAGACAAGAUUAAGGCAGAAUGAACUUCACUCCGAAUGAAGUUCCCCAUAACUUCAAGGUCUGACUAAAUGUCACAAGAUGUAGCUUCCAAUAGCUCAAAAAUGUGCCUCUAUGAUAACGUGGCGACCUCAAAUAAAGAGAUCCCUGGAAGUGAUUGGAAUACAACAGCAGGCAGAUCACUUUCCUGUCGCUAUGAGAAAGCUGGUCAUGACUUCAAGCUUAAUCAAUUUCAAAAAGAGAUAAGUGAAGAAAACAAUUUUCCUACCCAUUCCUUUGCAGGCUUUGUAUAACUUUUUGGCAUCUCGGUCGGCAUCGAAGCCAUGGUGAUGGUGAUGGCUUCUCUCUUUGGCCUGGAGGGGAAAUAAUUCAAAGGGUGAGGUGGAUAAAGCAGUUGUUCUGAAGUUAGUUUUGCUGGAUUUGACAACCAACUAGAAGACCAAGCCAUCGUCCAAACACGAGCGGGGCAGAUGCUGCUCUACAAGUGGGUGUUUGUGGGAAUCAGAAAUGGCUGCUACUCCUUAGGGCCCUUGGCCUUGGGUGGUCAUGGCAGAAGGGUCUCCUCUGUUCUUAAGGACAAUUGAUUGCUCUGGCUAACUCUAUGGUAAGUGAUUUUCAUAGCAACCCAUCUUUGUGUGUCCUUUUCUCUCAAACAAAGUGCAAUACCGUGGGCCAGUGUCCUCCACGGUGGAUAGGCCAAGUAUAUCCAAGGAGCAGGAUUUGCUAGCCAAAGCUGAGGGAACCUUGUCUAGUAUAUCAUGUUCCUGGCCUAGAGCAGUGCCAUCCAUACAGCAGAGACAUCGUUUAGUUUGUCAGAGACUCUGUGUGAACUGACAGGGGAGAAGUUUUUAGCUUUUAGUUCUUGUGGGAGAGAAAAGUCCUGUUUACAUAUUGAGCUGUCUUAUGUUUCAGUCCUUAGAUUAGUCACCCACUGCUGUGUUCUUCUGUGUAUGCCAAUCUCCUUAUAAUAAUAAUAAUAAUAAUAAUAAUAAUAAUAAUAAUAAUAGUAAUAAUGUGUUGCAAGUGUGAAGGUUUUCCUUCACUCAGUCAAUAAACUUGGUUUUUCCUUA